rnacentral:lncRNA from 1 species
ACCACAAAUGCAGCCAGAGAAGCCCUGAAAAGUUCUUCGAACUUCUCACCCAGCAAUAGAGACCUUAAAUCCGUUAGCAACACAGAAGCCCCACAACCUUUCCGUGCACAACGUAUUGGAAAGCUGUCCUGGCUUUUAAUUGCAGAGUCGCACUGCUCCACUAAACAUGAUCUGCAGAACUCAUGUCUGCACAGUUCAAGCUUGUAGCUAUCCUCCACUUCACACAAGCAAAUGGGACAGGUAGCCUCCUCGUUUCCAUUUUUAUUCGGUGAACCGCUAGUCCGUGCAAUCUCAUAGAUUCUCUCUUCAACUUUUUGCUUCAGGUCUUUUGUGCCCCCAAGACCUUGCCCUUCCUUCAGGUCUUCUACUCCUUUAAGACAGAUGCAAUGCCGCUUCGUAUUCAAGGAAAACUCUGCCCCUGGAAACAUUUCUUUAAGCGAAUGCAGAUCCGGACCAAACUUCUGAACAACCCUUUUCAUCAGAUCAGGAGGUAAAACUGCACCACGAAGAUGGACUUCCAGUUGCUUGUUCUCAUGCAGUCUGAGAAGGGAUUUAACAAGUCUCUUUUUGGCAACCUCAAUCUUGGCUGUUGUGCCAAAAACCCUCAAACUGAGGGCUUGCUUGUCAAAAAGAAUAUAGGUUCCUGUCUCCCGCUGAAUCGUAUUCAAAACAUUGAGACCAUCACGAGAGAAAAGCAACUGCAAAACUGUUGGAGUGAUUGCUGCAUCGUCUAUACUGUUGCCUUUCAUGAGCCCCUCCAAUGGUCUUCUCAAUUCUGCCACUGUUUUGGUAGCAGUUGCAGAUAUCUUUACUCGACAUGAACCAUUCUCAUUUACUUCCAUAUUGCAUUCAACACCUGGAAACAAUCAAAACCAAUAUUCAAUUAUCACAGUGGAUUGGUUCAUUUAUAACCUUUU